rnacentral:rRNA from 1 species
AGUGAACGCUGGCGGUAGGCCUAACACAUGCAAGUCGAACGGCAGCACAGUAAGAGCUUGCUCUUACGGGUGGCGAGUGGCGGACGGGUGAGGAAUACAUCGGAAUCUACUUUUUCGUGGGGGAUAACGUAGGGAAACUUACGCUAAUACCGCAUACGACCUACGGGUGAAAGCAGGGGAUCUUCGGACCUUGCGCGAUUGAAUGAGCCGAUGUCGGAUUAGCUAGUUGGCGGGGUAAAGGCCCACCAAGGGGACGAUCCGUAGCUGGUCUGAGAGGAUGAUCAGCCACACUGGAACUGAGACACGGUCCAGACUCCUACGGGAGGCAGCAGUGGGGAAUAUUGGACAAUGGGCGCAAGCCUGAUCCAGCCAUACCGCGUGGGUGAAGAAGGCCUGCGGGUUGGAAAGCCCUUUUGUUGGGAAAGAAAAGCAGCAGGUUAAUACCCCGCUGUUCUGACGGUACCCAAAGAAUAAGCACCGGCUAACUUCGG